GGAAACCUGUGGGAGUACCAACAGUGGAGUAGCAGCCUGGCUUCUCAAUCACAAAACUGCCAUCUCCUCAUCUACCCUGUUAACUGAAUUUGCUUGGAUAGAGUCAAAAUGCAUGAGAGGGAGUUCAGGAAGUAGUUGGUGCUCAUUUCUUAAUGAAUUCUUGGACAUGUUAGUCACUGCGUUGUUUUCAGCAUACCCUCACAGUUGCUGAACUGGAGCACGAAUUACAUUGGAGACUUGUGACUUUCACAUCUACUCUGUGAGCCUGUGCAUGCCUUUGUGGAGGCAAAAAAAUCUGAAACCUUAUGGAUCAGAACCACGACAUGCAUUACAGGGUUGAAGAAUGCCUCUCCAGAGUUAGAGGUCUCUAGUUAGUAUGAAGGCUCAGACAGUGGAGCAUCUGUCAUAAAUGAGGACAUCCACGAUUUACUGCUGCCAGGACACCGUCUAUGACAUGACCAAAUGGGGUUCUUUUUUCUACAAGAACAGCAGAACAUGUUUCUGACUCAACUUUAGCCCUGUGAUGGAUGCCUAUCUAUUGAGGGACCUGGACUAAGACAAUUAAUCUGAAACCACAAUUUUAACAAUGCCAUCUUGACUGCAUUGGAAAAUCCUGUAAAAGAUAAGUUUCAAAUUUCAAAACAUGAAAUGUUGUGAUAUGUUGUUGUCUGAGAAAUACGCUUUUUAAAGUGUUAUGAUUGAGUCCUUGUAGUAAGGAAAGGUAGUCUGAAGGUUCAGAGAGCAUGCAGAGGCUGGAGACAUGAACUCAGUUUCCACAUUCAGCUGGAGACUUUAAGACUUCAAUUUCUGGUUUUAGUUCUCUGGCCACAAUGAAGGUGAUGAUCAUUCUUCUCCCAAUCUUAUCCCAUUAUUCAGUCUCUAAACUGUUGAGAGGUCUUUGCUACUAUUCAUGCAUAACAUGUAGUCCUUGUGUUACUUGGGGCCUCAGGAAAUACUUAAAAUACUCUUUUUUUUUUUAAUUAUCUGUAUGUAAACUGCACAUAGUGUUUAUUAAAUAGCUAUUAAGAUAACAGAGAUGAGCUUCACGAGAAACUCUGAAUGCUGAGUACUAUUCAAAACUUAAAAUAAUUAUGGUCUUUCCAGUGUGGGUGUAACUUUACAACUUGAAAAUACGUAUACACAGGAUUUGGCUUGGGGCUUGUCUUUUCAUUUUCAUUCCUAACCACACUGCCUGAACACCCUUUAUGGAAAGUAAAAUGUUGCAUACAGAUAAUUCCUCCUGGACAAGAGCAAGAUCAAUACAAAGCAACAUGACAAAAGUAAUUGCAAAGUCCAAUAGAGGUGAUAUCUAAUCAAACAGCCCCAGCUUGACUGAUAAAGGAGAAACAAGGAAAUUUUUGUACCGGCUGCUGCUGAGCAUCACCCUUGACUUGGCAAUUUUAUCCC